ensembl:lncRNA
UAUUGAUUCAACUUAUAGAAUUAAAUUUCUGCUAGUUGUUUUCUGUUGCAAAGAAAUCUAGUAUAAUAAUAUUUAAAUUUACAUAUAUAUCUUUCACGUUUUCAAUGCCAAUUUUGCGUAAUAACGGAGUUUCCCACUACCCGUGAAUGCCUCUUUUUUUACGUCGCCGGCUCACUCCUGCAUCUCCGCCCACUCUCUGCUGAUCCCUGCCGGCCCGAGUGAAAGAGAUCUUUGGUUUUGCCUUUGCUGACUGCUGAUCUGAUCGUCUCAAGUCUGGUGAGCUGCUGCAGAAGAUCCUCUCUCUCUAUCAUUAUAAGCAAUUCUGUCUAUCCUAUCACUCUCCCGACUCUAUCUAAUUUGACAGCCAUUCUAUCUUGUAUCCCUCUAUCCCUACUGCUCUAUCUAAUUUGACAGCCAUUCUAUCUUGUAUCCCUCUAUCCCAAGCGCUCUAUCUAAUUUCAGAAUCCAAGUUUUCAGAAAUCCAAGUACCAGUACUUGAUCUAUCUGUUACAGAAUUCUGAGAGAUCUCUGCUCUCACUGCUCCUUCUUUCCUGUCAUUAAACUCUCUCACAUUCAGUCAUUUUGCUGAAAAUUACAAUUAGAAAGUUGAAUAUACAGUAGUAGAAUAUCAGUACAGUAGAACUUAUAGUAGAAACUACUUAUACAGCCCUACAUUUGUAGUUUUAACUUGGCAUUACUCUUUGGAAUAAACACUGAUAGUUUGGCUUACUGGUGCAAUUACUUUGAUACAUUAUAUAAAAUAUACACCUUUUGAAAGGUUUAUUUGUAAUAAGAUAAUCUGACUAUUCUGUAAUAUAUUCAGAGUGCUAUAUUCACAUAAAUAUUAAAUUUGAUUCAAAUACAUUUUUCAAGUCUGUUUCAUUGGCUAUAAUAUUUGACUACAAGUUUAUACUAUUAUUAUCGAAGGACAAACCCUUUUUUGUCACUCAGUGUAAGUGUUCAGUUAGAAUUGUCAUCUAGAGGCUGCCCUGAGAACCCAGACUUCCUGUUUCCUGACUGCUGCAGAACAUCCAGCUGAAGACUCCCCAUCGCCUGUCAUCUGAUCACCACACCAUCACAGCUCCUUAUAUUUGCUUUAAAUUUUAAAUAUCUUAAAGAUUUACACAAAGUCUACUUAAAAGCUAAGAUUUUUAUCAUAGCCUGUUGAUUGAUUGUUGAGAUUUAUUCUGCAUAUUACUUUACAGGAGUAUAGACCUAUUUGUUAUCCAGUCUGGUUAAAAAAAAAUAUAAGUAAUAAUAUACAGUUUUUGAAAAAGUUACAAUAAAACAGACCAAAGUGUUUUCAAAGAACUUUAAAUAACUUUUAUAUUGAGUUUGUAUUUAAGUCAG